rnacentral:lncRNA from 1 species
AUGGGAAAUUCAGGAAUGCAGAUCGGCCACAGAGAAAGGAACGGGAAAUUUGGGAAUGCGGGAUCGGCCCCGGGAUGGGAAAUUCGGGGAUGUGGGAUCAGCCCCAGAGAGAGGAAUGGGAAACUUGGGAGAGAGGAGCGGGAAAUGUGGGAAUUCCGGAGCUUUCCCGGGAUCGGGGAGAGCCCCGGACCCAGCGGGAUCAGGAGGGGAAUGGGGGUGGGAAACCCCAAAUCCAUCGGGAUUGGGACAGGAGAGAGGGAAAAGCCCAAAUCCAUCGGGAUGGGAAUGAGAAACCCCAAAUCCAUCGGGAUCAGGUUGGGAAUGAGAAAUCCCAAAUCUAUCGGGAUGGGAAUGAGGAAAAACCCGAAAUCCAUCUGGAUCAGGAGAGAGGGAAAACCCCAAAUCCUUCGGGAUGGGAAUGAGAAACCCCAAAUCCAUCGGGAUCAGGUUGGGAAUGAGAAAUCCCAAAUCCAUCGGGAUGGGAACAGGAGAGAGGGAAAAUCCCAAAUCCAUCGGGAUGGGAAUGAGGAAAAACCGCAAAUCCAUUGGGAUGGGAAUGGGGAAAAACCCCAAAUCCAUCGGGAUCAGGUUGGGAAUGAGGAAACCGCAAAUCCAUCGGGAUGGGAAUGGGGAAACCCCAAAUCCAUCAGGAUCGGGACGGGAACAGAGGGAAAAUCCCGGGAUCGGGGUCGGGAUCGGGGUCAGGGUCGGGAUCCGGAGCAGCUUGGGAAGAUCUCAAAUCCCUCGGAGCGCCGGGGCCGGGAGCCGCAGCCGCCUCCUUCCCCCCUUUUCCCCCAAAUCCCCCCGGAGCGAAAUUCCCGGGAUCGUUCCCGGGGUUGUUCCCAAAAUUCCGCCCCAAAAAUUCCCCCAGAAAGGGCAAAAACCCCAAAAUUCCCCCUCACCCCUUUAUUAUUUUUUUUUUUACAAAUUUUGGAGGUUUUGGAGCCACCCCAAAUUCUCUCUCCAAGAGCAGAAUUCCCAAAAUCCCAAAUUUCUGAGAGGAGAAAUCCCAGAAUUCCCAAAAUCCCCAAAUUUCUGAGGAGAAUUCCCAAAAAUCCCAAAAUUCCUGAAUUUCCAAGUGAAGAAUUCCCAUAA